rnacentral:lncRNA from 1 species
GCCACAAAAGGGCCACACAUUCACACAAAAUGUAAAGAGGAGUUUCCUCCUCAUACUGACAUCUUCUACACAUACGGCUAUCAGUAAGUUCAGUCAAGUGAAGAUGUCUUCUAAGAUGACAGUGUCCUGUAAGAGGCCCUGUAACAAUCCUAGCUUCCUGUUUAUUCAAAGAAAGCAACUCCUUAAUUUGCUGAAUGGAGCAGCCCAAAAGGAGAGCCUUUGCCUGCCUAAGACCAGUAAUGGACAUCCGGAAAGUGAAAUGCUGGGCCGCCAGCUAGUCCCUGACAACCUGCCCAAAAGCAUCCAAACCAAUGCCCAGGAUAGGCUCAGGUCCAAAAAG